rnacentral:rRNA from 1 species
UACGUAGGGUGCGAGCGUUGUCCGGAUUUAUUGGGCGUAAAGGGCUCGUAGGCGGCGUGUCGCGUCGGGAGUGAAAGCCCGUUCGCUUAACGGGCGGGUUGGCUUUCGGUACGGGCAUGCUGGAGUGCGGCAGGGGAGACUGGAAUUCCGUGGUGUAGCGGUGGAAUGCGCAGAUAUCAGAGGAACACCGGUGGCGAAGGCGGGUCGUCUGGGCAGCUAACUGACGCUGACGGAGCGAAAGCGUGGGGAGCGAACAGG